rnacentral:lncRNA from 1 species
UUAUCUCCAUUUCAACGGGACGAUUCUGGACCGCAGUGAUCACAGCCCCCCUUUCCCUCACUGAGACUUACCAGAAGGGACUCUGCACAGGGAAAGGCUCAUUGGUGGGGCUGCCUGGGAGAACUCCCAAGACACACAGGUGGAGCCUUUCCCGAAGGCCAAGUAUGGAGCAAUUAUCUCGCGUCUUCAUCCAUCAUCGGAAAUCCUAACUGAAGCUUUUGAGCCGAAUUCCAAAGCUUUAUGGACGCCCUUCCGUCCGGAGCUCCCUGGAGCUGCGCCUCGUGGGCUGUGAUUUACACAGGGGCUGAGGCUUGGGCCUGAGUUGGUUCCAGAUCAUAGGGACUGUGACAAGCCUGAAGACCCUUCUCCCUAUCCCAGGAGGAGCCCAGGAACGCAAGCGAGAGCCUCUGCAAGUCACCCCAGCUGCCGCGUUUCCACCCAGGAGGAAGACGCACGUGGGGCGGCACGAGAGAUAGACGGAGGAUCUUCACAGAGUUAGAAUCUUUUUGGAGGCUGAGAGAGUACCAGUAGCUUUGCUGUGUUUUGCUUGCCUGUAUAUGGGGAGAAAAUAGCAGUAACAAAGGAACUCACUCACCCUCCAGGUUCCCUUGAGACGACAGUGUUGAAUGGGAGAUGGAUACACUUGGAGUGAGAACUGUCUGUUGUUGCUACCACCUGCCAGCCACUGUGCAAGGAAUAAUAUCCCAUUUCCUCAUGCACUUGGUUUUAUGGCUUUUUAAAACCCAUUGUUGGCUCCUGCCUCCCCAUGUUGAAAUUAUUGGUCAUGGAUGCUGUCAAGGAAAACUUGCAAUGGAUGGAGGUAAACAGGCAAGGAAGAUUUUUUUCAAUGCUACUGUAAUAGGGGUCAAGACCAUUACAGU